rnacentral:rRNA from 1 species
UAAUUUGAGAGUUUGAUCCUGGCUCAGGACGAACGCUGGCGGCGUGCCUAAUACAUGCAAGUCGAACGAACUCUGGUAUUGAUUGGUGCUUGCAUCAUGAUUUACAUUUGAGUGAGUGGCGAACUGGUGAGUAACACGUGGGAAACCUGCCCAGAAGCGGGGGAUAACACCUGGAAACAGAUGCUAAUACCGCAUAACAACUUGGACCGCAUGGUCCGAGUUUGAAAGAUGGCUUCGGCUAUCACUUUUGGAUGGUCCCGCGGCGUAUUAGCUAGAUGGUGGGGUAACGGCUCACCAUGGCAAUGAUACGUAGCCGACCUGAGAGGGUAAUCGGCCACAUUGGGACUGAGACACGGCCCAAACUCCUACGGGAGGCAGCAGUAGGGAAUCUUCCACAAUGGACGAAAGUCUGAUGGAGCAACGCCGCGUGAGUGAAGAAGGGUUUCGGCUCGUAAAACUCUGUUGUUAAAGAAGAACAUAUCUGAGAGUAACUGUUCAGGUAUUGACGGUAUUUAACCAGAAAGCCACGGCUAACUACGUGCCAGCAGCCGCGGUAAUACGUAGGUGGCAAGCGUUGUCCGGAUUUAUUGGGCGUAAAGCGAGCGCAGGCGGUUUUUUAAGUCUGAUGUGAAAGCCUUCGGCUCAACCGAAGAAGUGCAUCGGAAACUGGGAAACUUGAGUGCAGAAGAGGACAGUGGAACUCCAUGUGUAGCGGUGAAAUGCGUAGAUAUAUGGAAGAACACCAGUGGCGAAGGCGGCUGUCUGGUCUGUAACUGACGCUGAGGCUCGAAAGUAUGGGUAGCAAACAGGAUUAGAUACCCUGGUAGUCCAUACCGUAAACGAUGAAUGCUAAGUGUUGGAGGGUUUCCGCCCUUCAGUGCUGCAGCUAACGCAUUAAGCAUUCCGCCUGGGGAGUACGGCCGCAAGGCUGAAACUCAAAGGAAUUGACGGGGGCCCGCACAAGCGGUGGAGCAUGUGGUUUAAUUCGAAGCUACGCGAAGAACCUUACCAGGUCUUGACAUACUAUGCAAAUCUAAGAGAUUAGACGUUCCCUUCGGGGACAUGGAUACAGGUGGUGCAUGGUUGUCGUCAGCUCGUGUCGUGAGAUGUUGGGUUAAGUCCCGCAACGAGCGCAACCCUUAUUAUCAGUUGCCAGCAUUAAGUUGGGCACUCUGGUGAGACUGCCGGUGACAAACCGGAGGAAGGUGGGGAUGACGUCAAAUCAUCAUGCCCCUUAUGACCUGGGCUACACACGUGCUACAAUGGAUGGUACAACGAGUUGCGAACUCGCGAGAGUAAGCUAAUCUCUUAAAGCCAUUCUCAGUUCGGAUUGUAGGCUGCAACUCGCCUACAUGAAGUCGGAAUCGCUAGUAAUCGCGGAUCAGCAUGCCGCGGUGAAUACGUUCCCGGGCCUUGUACACACCGCCCGUCACACCAUGAGAGUUUGUAACACCCAAAGUCGGUGGGGUAACCUUUUAGGAACCAGCCGCCUAAGGUGGGACAGAUGAUUAGGGUGAAGUCGUAACAAGGUAGCCGUAGGAGAACCUGC